rnacentral:rRNA from 1 species
AAUUAUUAAAUGUUAAAUCAUUAAAUUUAAAAGAUUUGGCGGUAUUUUAAAUUAUUAGAGGAACCUGUAUAGUAAUUGAUAAUCCACGAUAAGAUUAACUUAACUAAUAAAUUUAUGUAUUGCUGUUUAAAGAUUAUUAUUAAUUAAUUUUUUAUAUUUUUAGAUUUAAUUUAAUUCAAGUCAAAAUAUAGUUUAUUUAAGAUUAAUAUGGGUUACAAUUUUUAUUAAUAAUUGAAAAAUUAAAUUUAAAUUAAUUUUAAAAUUGGAUUUAAUAGUAAAUUUAAUAAAUUAAUUAUUUUGAAUUAAAAAUAAAAUAAGU